CACGUGAUGCUGGGGAGAGGGGUCACGCAGCGGGGCGAGGAUCCCCCAAUGCCGUCUCUACCCCAGGUCCCGAGGGUUGAAUCCGGCACCCUCCCACUUUUCAUCGUCAUAAGCAGGAACUAUAAUUCUGGCUGCGUGACCGCGAACAAGUCACUUAACUUCUCUGAGCCUCGAUUUCUUAUGUAAACUAUGAAGCAACAAACUGUUUCUCGGGUUAGGCGAGAGCCUCCCGACAUCCGGCGUGGCACGUACUCGGUGCUUUCAAAUGCGACAGACAGAAAGGAAGGAGUGAGGUCGAAUCCCGCGCACAGACUUCCACCCCAAUGAUCUGCUGGCUGGUGGGCCAGAGGCCACAGAUCCUGGACCCCUACUGUUGCCUCUGCUGACCCUUCCCAGCUGCUGGGAAAGCAUCACUGCUCUGUAGAAAGAGCUCCAGUUGGAGAGAGUGCCAAGAAGAAUGAAUCCAAAUCCCUGACAACUAGCUGUGUGUUGAUAAUUGAAGUGACCACAGAUG